ACUCACUAGAAUCCAUGGUUCAGUAGGAUGUAGAUCCACAGAUUUUACUCUUUCUGAUCUUUGAGCAAGUUUCCUCUUUAUUUCAAGUCUGAGAGGCAUUUUUGCAAAUCGUAAGAGCUAGAGAUCCAGGUGUUAAAGAAUGAUAGAGGGAGAGAGAGAGACAGAGCGAGGGAAGGAAGAUCAGAGGAGGGUCUUUGGCUUUGUAUUCGCAAGACCUCUUGUUAAUGUGCGAGAGAAAGCGAGAGAGAAAUGCUUUGUAAUUAAGGGACACAAUUACGGAAGUGCCACUGCCUGGGUAGGAAUGUAGUGGAUGCUGUCAUACAAUAAGAUCGAUGCCUGCUGUUAUUGAUGAUAUGGCGAUUGAGCAGAUUAGAUUUUGUUAGGGAGGUCUGGUGUACAACCUCAGCAUGGAAAGAGGAGUGGCUGUGGCAAUGAGGUGUCUGCAAGGCUGGAGCUUUGGGGCCG
rnacentral:misc_RNA from 1 species